CAGUAUGCCUACCUCUGGAUGUAUUUGCUACAAAUACCAGUAUUAGAUUGUAAUUGCCAAUCCUUUAAAACCAGUUUUAAGAUGGAUAUAAAGCCCUAAAAAUCUUGCAGCUUCCACAUGCACAUCUGAAAAACUUCCAAUUUACAAAGGACAUUGUGGUAUUUUUGGAAAACAAAGGAAAAUGACACAUACUAAUUUCUGUCAUUUAUUCACGUCAUAAUCCCCAAAGCUACCUUUAUUCCACGACUCUUUCCACCAUUUUCCUACAGUCAGCUUUUUUUAAGGCUAUAGCCUUUAAAAACUUGAAACAGAAAAUUUUAAGGAUGCAACCAUUAGAAAAUGUUCCCAUACUACCAUUUAACAUUCCCCAUUUAUCAUUAUGUUUACUAUCGUGUAAUUUCCAACAUAAUAUUAUGAGGUCAAAGGCUCUACGAACGCCGUUUUACAAUCUACCUAGGGAGGCAAUGGCUGUGAAACACACCACACCAAUGACAGGAAUGCGGGUCACUGUGACACAACGGAUCCCUCUGCAAAGUCAAAGCUAAGAGUUCACUUUACGCUGACGGAGCUUCUUUCCAGGACCCCCACCCCCACCCAAGGACAGGAGAGUGUCGAUUUCCCAAGGUGUCUGGCACUGCUUCUUGAAAACGCAGCUCUCAUCUGGUUCCUGGAAGGUCAUACUGGUUCGCGCAGGGCUCGGGACGGGGCGCUUGGCUUCUGAGGCACCCGCGCUGGCUCCUCACCCGGUGACCUUCAGGCCUCUGCGCUUGGCCUGACCCUAGAAGGGCCACCGCCCUUCACAGCGGGCGGGCACCGUCCCUCCCACGGCCCCGCCGACUGCUGACGCGGUGGCCCCAAGGGUCCAGGCCCGCACUUGCCCCACUCCCGCGGCGCCGUCCCCCAUAGUCGGUCCCCGAGGGCCGCGCCCAGCUCCUGCUCGGAUUUCAGCCCGCACCGCACCCCAGCCGCCAGGGAACCUUCCAGAACCCUGCCCCUCUGGCUUUCUCCCGAAAGCCCAGGGUCGCCGUCCAGGAAGAAACUUCGAUUCAUUUAUUGAGCGCCGACUGUGUCCAAGGCCGAGGGAGGGGCGGGGUUUCCACGCGGGGAGACCCCCUAGGUUCUCGCCUCGGUAAGCGCCCGCGUUCCAGCACCUCGAGUCGCCCGCGGGCCCCCACCCCUCGGGCCGGGCCCGGUCCUCGAGGAAAACCCACGGCGGGGCAGGAAGGAACGAGGAGAGCCACGCUCCUUGCCCGCCUCGUCCCCUCCACUCCCCUUCACCUCACGGGACCCCAGGGAAGCCGCCGGAGCUAAAAUUAGCAACCCGCGCAGCGCGCGCUCACGUGCGCGCGGCCCGGCGGGGGCGGGGAGCAAGGGGCGCGGUCCGGGUGAGUCACCGGCCCCGCCCCACUCGCCAAGAACGCGCUGACGUCAGCCGCUUCCCCGAAGGGUGACGUAAGCGCGCCACGGGGAGGCCGAGGCAGCUGAUAGAAUGUUCUGAGUUUCGAUGCCUUAAAGGGACCAGGCCUGGGAUCGUGAAACAUCUGGGGAAACGACUCCACUCACUCACCUGCAGACUGAGAGCCCAUCUUGUACCGUGUUAUACUUUAAGAGAGUUGACUGUUGAGAUGAUGAUGAAAACGGAAGAACAACUGAGCCUAGUUGGAGGCUCUUUGAAGUCCCAGAACCUCCUCCUGGAAGCCCUCUUUGGUUAACCAGAUGGACAUCUCAGUUGCCCUCUGAGCCUGAACCAAGUGUCAGGAAGAGUUUUCUAUGGCCCUUGACUCCUUAACUCUUUGCUUAUAGCGUCUCUGCUCUCUGAUGCCUCUGCUGUCAGAGAAAGGCUGUGGUUUAAAUAUUUAUUUAUGAAUCCAUCAGCUUGGGCCAACUAGGUCCAUUUAUCACCGUUUUGACUGUGUCUAAACUGUCAUUAGUGGUGUGACUAGAAACCAGUUAAUUUCGCUGGGUGGUAAAUUCGUGGACUGAUCUCCAAACCCUCCUACUGUGCUAAUGUUGCCAAUGGAAGUUUCCAGAGGCCAGGAUCCCUGGCCAACACGUGAUCGUAAACAACAUCAGGGCCUCACAGGGAACUCACAAUUUACUGAGGUUUGCUCUGUGCCAGGUGUUUUCAUGAUCCUCCAUCCCCUUGUCGUUUAGUCCUCUUCUCUGAGUCCUCCCCAUUUUACUGAUGAGGACGGAAAUCGAGGCACACGAUUAAGCGUUUCCCUGGGUCACACAGCUAAUGAAUGGCGAGCUGGAAGUCAGUCCCAGGUCAUCAGACUCCGAAGUCCAUGGUUUUGGUGAUGAAGGUGGGCUGUGAAAUGUGUGUCUUAUUCUAUGCAUGUGAGUCCGCUGGAACCAACUUUUCCACUUGGAACACAAUCUCAGUGCCUUUCAGCAGGUAACCGGCGCCAGACCAGAUCUCCAGAGAUGGAGGUGGUCGGCCUCAGGGCCCAGCCAUGAGAAGGUGUAUGAGGAGGCAUCGCAUCAGGCGCCCACCCUGUGCUUGCAGGGCCUGACCAUGAGCGCCGCCUUCAGUUUUACACCUUAGGCACCCCACUUGGCUCCCCUUCGUCCCAGCCCUGCCAGACCCACCCUUGACUCUGUGUUUCCUUUCUGGAAACUCGAGAGGCCAUUUCUACUUAAAGAGUCCUCACCUGGCCUACCAGCGACCAGAUCUGCCCAAGUGCAGAAGAAACACUUGGUUAUCUCCUCUUUCAUCGUCCCCGCUCGAGCAUAAAACAACAGAAAGUUUCCUAUCGGAACAGCAUGCUUGUGCCAAAAACAAAUUAGAAACAACAACAACUUCUCAAAAUUUUGAGCAAAAUGAUGGUGACCGUGUUCUGGAAAUGGAGCAAAGUGAGUGAGCCACUGUCACUGUUACAUCUGACAAUCACUACUGGUACUUGGCUAAAUAUUGCAGCCACCUCUUCAGGCUACACAUGUCAGGUGUACCAGAAGCACCUUCCGCCUCCAGCUCACUUCUGGGAGAUAUUUAGAGCUGACUCCUCUCCCCUCCCCAGUCUCCAGCCACCAGCAAGCUCUCUCCUUGGUGUCCCCAGCUCCUGCCCCUCAUGCUGAUAGAAGCAUUGCCCGCUGUUCUUCCUGUUCUUACAGGUUUCCUAGUGCCUGUGACCAAACACCUUGUGUGUGCUCCCCAGGAGAGAAAACCGCUAGCAGCCUCAGACAGGUGAGGAGUUGUUCCUCCUCAGACCCAGGAAUCAUUUCCCAGUGGAAUGACACGGUGAAGUGGAUCGCCAUUUUUAAACCUUCAAUAAUAAAGAUCUUGUGUGUCAUUUCAGUUUUAAUUUUUUAUCGUCCAGUCUUUACUCUCCAUCAUUUCUUUAUCCCAGAAGCCCCAUUAAAUGUCAUUAAGAGCCAUAAAUGUAACUGGCCACUAAUGUGGAAGGAUUGUGAUCUCCGG
rnacentral:lncRNA from 1 species